rnacentral:snoRNA from 1 species
AAGACAGAGAAAUAGAGAACAUUAAAAACUAAUCUGUAUUUUUUGUAACUGGCGAUAGCAAUGCCAUAUUACAAGCCUUAAUGACAUUGGGGUCUUUAAGGUCCCUGAAAGUGGCUAUAUGA